GCCGUAGCUGAGCGGCAGAGCAUCUGCUUUGCAUGCAGAAGGUCGCAGGUUCAAACCCAAGCAUCUCCA